GGAAUGUUUGGGAAAUCCUGGGUUACCUAGAUUUCCUUCCGAAGAGAGUGCUUUGUAGAACAUGAACACAUGCUGUGGGUCUCUGAGAGGGGGCUACAGAAUACACCCCUUCCCUCCAUUUUGUGACCACAGAAUCUUUUUUUCCUCCUCUAAGUAUCCCAAGAGACUGUGGAUUCGUGCAGCUGAGAAACACUGAGCUAAAGUAUUCAUCAGAGAAAAGCACUACGUGUGGAAUCAUUUUCACCUUCGAGCCAGGCUUCUGGCUUCAGACUGGAUCCUCUCAGCCUUUUGUCAUGUGAUAUUUAUUGAGCACCUAUUGGGUGCCAUCAGUUUGCUCAGGAGCUUUGUAGAAGGAGCCCUGUAAGAGAUGCGUAUUCCAGGCGCACAGUCAGAAGCCAGCCAGACAAGCCCAGAAAGGAGUACCACAUUGAUUCAUGACCAGACCUGCCGAUUUCCCACUCAUCCUAAUCAUUCUUCUAAGGAGGGGCUCCAGAAACCCAAGAGAUUGAGAGACCUGGUCAGAAAUAGAUCUGGGUACAAAGGACACACUCAACAAGUGGUAGCUGUUGACCUCACUGUCACCAUUCCCAACAUCGUCCCCAGCUUUGCCAUCACCACCACCAUCAUUACCAGAGUUAUUGCCAAAAUUGUCAGCAGCAGCACCAACACAGUGAUCACCAUCUUCAUUAUUGCCAAGUCACUAUCCCCAUCAUCAUCAUCAUCACUAUCAUCCAAGAUUUCUCUUAGAUUAUCCACUUUCUUAGGUUGGGGAACCCUGUUUUCUCUGUUAUUGCAGACAAAAUGACAAUAAAUACAUAGACUCACCUGGCUUAAAAAUAGUGUCUCAAGUAGCAAGAAGUCCAAUAAGGGUGAUUCUUAGGGGCUCAAAGACACCUUUUUAAAAAUUAUUUUAUUGUAUUUUCAGGGCUGCACCUGUGGCAUAUGGAAGUUCCCAGGCUAGGGGACAAAUCAGAGCUGUCGCCACUGGUCUACACCACAGCUACAGCAACACCAGAUCUGAGACAUGUUUGCAACCUACUCCACCGCUCACAGCUAUGCCAGAUCCUUAACCUACUGAGUGAGGCCAGGGGUUGAACCCACAUCCUCAUGGAUACAAGUCAGGUUCGUUACCGCCUCAUGGCCUUACAUGGUGGGAACUCCUUCAAAGACAUCUUUGAAGACUCUGGUUCUUUUCUCUUUCUGCUCUGCCAUCCUCAUUGCAUUACCAGGUUCUCAGCUGGUUCAUGAGAUGAAGUAGCAGCAGCAUCAACACCCACACACAAAAAUGUGUGUUUUGGUAGAAAAAGGGAGUACUUCUAUCAUGGGUUUCUUCUCAUCGGCAAAUAUGUAAGUGUCUCCCCACAUCCCCUCUCCUUAGCAGCAUGGACUACAUGAGAACCUCCUCUGAGGAGGGGUGGGGGUUUCUCUGGAGGUGUUCAGGUAGGGAGGAAAUGACUAUUGGAAGAAAUUUGGGGCCCAUCUCUUGUUGUGAAUGACUAAGUAAAUACACUGGAGUUUGCUCACCCUAGCAGUAGUCACAACUCAUUUAGUAACCUGCUGGUGCAGUGGUGGCUCCCUCAAAUGCAUGAUGUCUAGAAAGCCGAGACCCACGUGGAUCAGUCCCCAAAAGGUGUAGCAAUGAAAAUAACAUAGUUUUUAUGAAAGCUCUUUGAAUGGUGUUGACUAAGUUGCUUUGUUUGUAUUAUUCUGAGCACUCUGAUAAUGACAGUCGUGACUCACAUCCAUGAAUUUUGUUUGAUGAACCCUGUCAUGCUGCCAAUUCCCUACACCCUUGACCUUCCACACACACAAAAACAAAAGCCUCCUUCAGAUUUUGCUCUGGCUGCCUCCUGCUAUUCUGCUUCACUCCCCUUUCCACUCAAUUUUCCUAUCUCCAAACCCAGAGAACCCAUAUGGCUGGGCUAGGUGCUCCUUGGAAGGUGGAGUCAGGAAGUAAGCUGAAAUGGUUAAUUUUAUGUGUCAAUUUGGCUGGGCUACAGUGCCCAGGUAUUUUCUCAAACAUUAUUCCAGAUGUUUCUGUGAAGGUGUUUUUUGUUUUUUGUCUUUUUGUCUUUUUAGGGCGGCACCAGCAGCAUAUGGAGGUUCCCAGGCUAGAGGUCUAAUGGGAGCUAUAGCUGACGGCCUAUGCCACAGCCACAGCAACUCGGGAUCCAAGCCGAGUCUGCGACCUACAUCACAGCUCACCGCAACGCCAGAUCCUUAACCCACUGAGCGAGGCCAGGGAUGGAACCCGCAACCUCAUGGUUACUAGUCGGAUUCGUUUCCGUUGCACCACAAUUGGAACACCUGUGAAGGUGUUUUUUGCACGUGGUUAACAUUUAAAUAGGUAAACUUUUGAGUAAAGCAUUGUCCUCUAUGAUGUGGGAGUGCCCCACUAAUCAAUUGAAGACCUUAAUAGAACAAAGCUGAACCUCCUCUGAGCAAGAAGGAAUUCUGUGAACUGAUUGCCUUUGAACUUGAACUGCAACUCUCCCCUGAGCCUGCAGCCUUCCAGUCUUCCCUGCAGGUUUUGAACUUACCCGGCCUCCAUAAGUGCAUUAUUUAUUUCCUUAUAAUAAAUCUCUUGGAAUUCCUGUUGUGGCUCAGCAGGUAUGAACCUGACUAGUAUCCAUGAGGAUGUGGGUUUGAUCCUUGGCCUCACUCAGUGGGUUAUGAAUCUGGCGCUGCUACAAGCUGUGGUGGAGGCCCAGGUGUGGCUUCAAUCUGGCAUAGCUGAGGCUGUAGUGUAGGCUGGCAGCUGUAGCUCAGAUUCAACCCCUAGCCUGGGAAACUUCAUAUGCUGUGGCUGCGGCCCUAAAAAGAAAAAAAUCUCUCCCUCUCUCUAUGGAUGCAUCCUGUUGGUUCUGUUUUUCUAGAGAACUCUAAUAUAUUGGGCCAAACUUGACCCUCUUUUGAUGGCAGGAGGUGGGAAAUUAAUGGUUAAUUUUCAUGACAGCCCAGGUAGAAAGAUUCUGGAAACAGCAUUUUGUUUUCUGCAGCUUCAGGUCAGAUUUACUGCCCUGAGCAGAUUCCUUCCCGGGCAGACACUGAGCACCCAGCCAGCUACACAGAACACCAGAAACAUUGUGUCCUUUCUACUCGGUAUGUCCUUAACCCACUGAUAACCCCUGAGGGUCCAAUUUCAAUAUGGAUGGUUUUGUCCCCUGGGGACAUGUGGCAAAGUCUGCAGACAUUUUGAUAACGAAAAAUGGGAAGCAGAUCAUGUGACUGAUAUGUGCUUAGUAGGUGGAGGUCAGGGAUAUGCCUAAACAUCCUACAAGGCACAGGACAGCCACACAGCCACCCCCUGACACAGAAUUGUCUUGUGCAUAUGUCAGUGCCAAGACUGAGAAACUCUGAUCUAGAUAGCUAACAAAUAAAACAGGCCUUCCUUUCAGCUCUCUCUUCUGAGAGGUGUCUGCUUUUUUCCCCUCUCUGUGUCUCUCUCCCUCCCUGCCUCCUGUUCUCUUCUCUGUCUCUUCAUCUCUCUUUCUCUCUCCCCUCUCUGUCUCUGUCUCUCUCUCACACACACACAUCUCUUUUUCUAGUGUUACUUUAUAAACUGAGAGAAUUAUGACAGAGACCAAAAAGACAGUCUUUUAUUUCGCUGUAUCUCUGUCCUUAACACCUUGGCACCCACAGCCCUGAGCCCCUGGUGCCCCAGCAUAAAAUCUGUGAGAUUUAAAUGUAUACUAGGAGGUGCCUUAUAAAACAUACAGAAUAGGAUUUGACAAGGUCCAUUCCUGAUGUCCUACUCCAGACAAAAUCUCCAAGCAGUAAUUUAAUAUCAGGGCUCUUCUCCUCUUAAAAUAGGUGUGUGAUACCACCCAGGCCCUGACUGAAGUUCAGUCAUGUAGUUGAUAC
rnacentral:lncRNA from 9 species